rnacentral:lncRNA from 1 species
CCUGGAGAUUUUCUCCUGGACCACAACCACAUAUACAUUUCAAAGGCUUCUAAUCUCAACUGAGCACUAGAAGAAGAGGCUAACAGCAAACUGGGGAGUACAAUGGCACUGAAAUUUAACCCGCUGCUCCAGAGCCCAAACCUGCAUGAGCCUCUCUAGCCGUUGGUCCAGAUGUGUAUUGCAGAGGGGUUGUUAACCAGAGAACUGUGUUAUCUCAGUAUGAAGAUGCCCACUGUAGCUCACUAGAGCAUGCAGUGACACUAGCAUCUACCCGUUGCUUCAGCUAGCUGGAGUGGAUGAAGUGUAACCACUGGGAUUGCCCUGACUGACCCGGUGUGAUGGAUUGCAUAACACUGAGAUGGGAGAAAUCGCUUCCAAAAGCUUGGUACCUUUGUACUAUGUUCUGCUGCAUCCCUACUGGUUGCAACAGCCACUUGCUUGCAGUAUUUGUCUUUUCGUAUGAAAUGGGUUCCCUUCUGUUUAGCCCAGGACUAGGCUUGCUCUUCAGCAGAGAGAACUUUGCUAAUCCUGCUUAAAUCCUCUCUAAAGCUAUUCUGCUGCAGAAAUCAGAAGAAAUGUUUUGCAGCUGUUAAAGGAUCAGUGAUAUAUGUGGCCAGGCAGCAUGCUCAGGCUACUGGAGAAGAGCAAGGUGCUGCCCGAGGCAGAAGGAGAAGUGUCCCAGUGACUGGGGAAGGAGCAGCUGCGGGCAGAAUGGCAUGGUGAUGGGCUUUGAUGAGUCUCUCAGACUACAAAGGAAUCUGGAAGGAUUUGAUAGCUGAGCCUUUUCUUGUCGCAAGAACAAAGGCUGGUGGAACCAGAGCCUCUCCUGCAGCUCGAGGGCAUGAGAUCCCAAACUCCCAGAGUGCUGCUUCACGGAGUGACAGGGGCAUGAAGCAUGGAAAUGAAGUAAAAAUGAGGCUGGUUUGGGAGAGAAAGUGUGACGGCUCCUCUCCAGAUGUGACAGAAAGGGGCCAGGAACACAUAGCUGCAUUUAUCUCAACCCUUUCAUUGGCUGGAACUAGUAGUAUUUCGACUAAAUGUGCUGCAUUUCCUUUUUUUUUUUUUUUUUAACCUGCCCUAUGAAUAAUGCUUUGACCAUUUUAAAAGCUGACAUACUAAUAAAAGACUAUUAAAUCCUGCCA